rnacentral:pre_miRNA from 1 species
GUAGUACUCCCCCCGUCCGAAAAUACUUGUCAAAGAAAUGGAUGAAAAUGGGUGUAUCUAAAACUAAAUUGCAUCUAGAUACAUCCAUUUCUUCGACAAGUAUUUUCGGACGGAGGGAGUACGUA